rnacentral:rRNA from 1 species
AUUGAACGCUGGCGGCAGGCCUAACACAUGCAAGUCGAGCGGCAGCGGGAAGUAGCUUGCUACUUUGCCGGCGAGCGGCGGACGGGUGAGUAAUGUCUGGGAAACUGCCUGAUGGAGGGGGAUAACUACUGGAAACGGUAGCUAAUACCGCAUGACCUCGCAAGAGCAAAGUGGGGGACCUUCGGGCCUCACGCCAUCGGAUGUGCCCAGAUGGGAUUAGCUAGUAGGUGGGGUAAUGGCUCACCUAGGCGACGAUCCCUAGCUGGUCUGAGAGGAUGACCAGCCACACUGGAACUGAGACACGGUCCAGACUCCUACGGGAGGCAGCAGUGGGGAAUAUUGCACAAUGGGCGCAAGCCUGAUGCAGCCAUGCCGCGUGUGUGAAGAAGGCCUUCGGGUUGUAAAGCACUUUCAGCGAGGAGGAAGGGGUUGAGUUUAAUACGCUCAAUCAUUGACGUUACUCGCAGAAGAAGCACCGGCUAACUCCGUGCCAGCAGCCGCGGUAAUACGGAGGGUGCAAGCGUUAAUCGGAAUUACUGGGCGUAAAGCGCACGCAGGCGGUUUGUUAAGUCAGAUGUGAAAUCCCCGCGCUUAACGUGGGGAACUGCAUUUGAAACUGGCAAGCUAGAGUCUUGUAGAGGGGGGUAGAAUUCCAGGUGUAGCGGUGAAAUGCGUAGAGAUCUGGAGGAAUACCGGUGGCGAAGGCGGCCCCCCUGGACAAAGACUGACGCUCAGGUGCUAAAGCGUGGGGAGCAAACUAGAUUAG